rnacentral:tRNA from 2 species
GGCGCUGUGGUUUAGUUGGUUAAAGCGCCUGUCUAGUAAACAGGAGAUCCUGGGUCCAAAUCCCAGCAGUGCCU